rnacentral:rRNA from 1 species
AGCAGCCGCGGUAAUUCCAGCUCCAAUAGCGUAUAUUAAAGUUGUUGCAGUUAAAAAGCUCGUAGUUGAAUUUCGGGGUUAGUAGGUCGGUCAUGCCACUGGUAUGUACUGGUCCCACUGAUUCCUCCUUCCUGAUGAACCGUAAUGCCAUUAAUUUGGUGUUGCGGGGAGACUGGACUGUUACUUUGAAAAAAUUAGAGUGUUUAAAGCAGGCUAACGCUUGAAUACAUUAGCAUGGAAUAAUGAAAUAGGACGUUCGAUCCUAUUUUGUUGGUUUCUAGGAUUGACGUAAUGAUUAAUAGGGAUAGUUGGGGGCAUUAGUAUUCAAUUGUCAGAGGUGAAAUUCUUGGAUUUAUUGAAGACUAACUACUGCGAAAGCAUUUGCCAAGGAUGUUUUCAUUAAUCAAGAACGAAAGUUAGGGGAUCGAAGACGAUCAGAUACCGUCGUAGUCUUAACCAUAAACUAUGCCGACUAGGGAUCGGAUGAUGUUAAUUUUUAAUGACUCAUUCGGCGCCUUAC